GCGCGAGGCUGGGCGGCUGGAAAAAGUGGGAUCUCAUCAAAUAACCAGGAAAGAUCACCAAAGAGAAGAGACUGGGCGUUGUCUCACGCCCAGACAGACUCUCCGUCUAUACUUCUGAGGUUACCUGUGUCGGGUCAGCAGUCUGAAAUGUUGGUUCUUGGUGGGCUCCUGGCAGAAGAAUGACCAGUCACACCGAAAGCAAGGGUCUAUGUUCCCUGCUCAUUGAAGAUUUAGUGCUGAUGAAAGAAAAGUGACAAUUAUUUAGCAUCUACUAAAUAUUGUUCUUGGUGCCAGUGAACCAUUCUUUUCACCAUAAAAAACAACAAAAUAACUACCUGAAUGGAGUCCGCCCUUCCGGGCAGUGUGCGGAAGGAUUUGCAUACAUGUUCUCAUUUAAUAUUCACAGCAGCCUUAUAAAACUGCUAUCAUGAUGCCUUUUUAAUUUUACAGAUAAGGAAAGGACAAUAACUUACUCAAA